AGUGAACGCUGGCGGUAGGCCUAACACAUGCAAGUCGAACGGCAGCACAGUAAGAGCUUGCUCUUACGGGUGGCGAGUGGCGGACGGGUGAGGAAUACAUCGGAAUCUACUUUUUCGUGGGGGAUAACGUAGGGAAACUUACGCUAAUACCGCAUACGACCUACGGGUGAAAGCAGGGGAUCUUCGGACCUUGCGCGAUUGAAUGAGCCGAUGUCGGAUUAGCUAGUUGGCGGGGUAAAGGCCCACCAAGGCGACGAUCCGUAGCUGGUCUGAGAGGAUGAUCAGCCACACUGGAAAUAAGACACGGUCCAGACUCCUAGGGAAGGCAGCAGUGGGGAAUAUUGGACAAUGGGCGCAAGCCUGAUCCAGCAAUACCGAGUGAGUGAAGAAGGCCUUCGGGUUGUAAAGCCCUUUUGUUGGGAAAGAAAAGCAGAAGGUUAAUACCCCGCUGUUCUGACGGUACCCAAAGAAUAAGCACCGGCUAACUUAGUG
rnacentral:rRNA from 1 species